UUUUUCUUGAGAGAAAUAUAGAAGAUUGAAAGCUUGUCCUACUCUUCCUCUGUCUGAUAUCUCUAUCCCCUCUUCCUAUCAACAUCAACAUUUGGUAUCAGAGCAUAGGUUAAGCUAUGACUUCUUCCUCAAGUGUCAUCCAACUCCAGAUCCCCAGAUUGACAAAAGAAAAUUAUGACAUAUGGUGCAUCCAAAUGAAGGUUCUUCUAGGCUCCC
rnacentral:lncRNA from 1 species